UACAGAGGUCCCCAAGCGUUGUUCGGAUUCACUGGGCGUAAAGGGUGCGUAGGCGGUCAGAUAAGUCUAAUGUGAAAUCUUCGAGCUCAACUCGGAAACUGCAUCGGAAACUAUCUGGCUAGAGGAUUGGAGGGGAGACUGGAAUUCUCGGUGUAGCAGUGAAAUGCGUAGAUAUCGAGAGGAACACCAGUGGCGAAGGCGAGUCUCUGGACAAUUCCUGACGCUGAGGCACGAAAGCUAGGGGAGCAAACAGGAUUAGAAACCCUGGUAGU
rnacentral:rRNA from 1 species